rnacentral:rRNA from 1 species
AACGAACGCUGGCGGCAUGCCUAACACAUGCAAGUCGAGCGCCUGUAGCAAUACAGGAGCGGCGCACGGGUGAGUAACGCGUGGGAACCUACCCUUAGGUUCGGAACAACCGCGGGAAACUGCGGCUGAUACCGGAUGAUGUCUUCGGACCAAAGAUUUAUCGCCUUUGGAGGGGCCCGCGUCGGAUUAGGUAGUUGGUGAGGUAACGGCUCACCAAGCCUACGAUCCGUAGCUGGUCNGAGAGGAUGACCAGCCACACUGGGACUGAGACACGGCCCAGACUCCUACGGGAGGCAGCAGUGGGGAGUAUUGGACAAUGGGGGCAACCCUCGAUCCAGCAAUGCCGCGUGGGUGAUG